UUGACAACAACUGUCAGCUGUAAAGAUAAAAAACUAUUUAUUUUGUAUUUGUAAUUAUUUUAAAAUAAAGGGGCAUAAGUGUAAACACAAAAUAAGAAAUAUGUGCAAAUAAAUCAUACAAACACUAAAGCUUUAAUAGUACAAUUGAAUUAUGGGUCUUCAUACCUAAUUUGAACAAAACAAUUAAUCAAUCAGAAUGUCGCUCACAAUUUCACAAAUUAUUGUUGACGCUAGACGGUUAGCCGAUCGUUUAAGAGAACGUGAUACCGUUGCUGAUAUUUUACUAAAUGAAACCCAUGCAGUUAGUAAGAAAAUAGAUGCAAUGAAACAGUACCAAGAAGAAGUAGAACAACUUAAUGAAGUUGCCCAUCAAAAACCCAACUCACAAUUAAUAGCAAACAUUCAGAAGGAAAAUAGGCAUUUACGAGAAAUACAACAGGAAAAUCGUGAAUUAAGAGCAGCCUUAGAGGAACAUCAGACAGCUUUAGAACAUAUUAUGUCUAAAUAUCGGCAACAUACUAAUGCACAGAUUUAUAACACUAGAAUUAACUUUAAAGGUCUUCAGGAACAAAAGUAUUUUGAUAUUAUAAAAAGACAGGCUGAAAAGAUUCAAGAAAUGGCUGCUGUAAUGGAAAGGGCUGCAAAAGUUGAUGAAGAGAGGGACUAUAAGGAAGGAGAAGUGAUGAAAAAAUUAUUAAUAGAAAAUAAGGGCCUAAGAGAAAUGUUAGAGAUAUCAUGCAAUUAUGGAUCAUACAACAAACCUUUAACGAAUACAACAGAAGACAAAUUUGUUCAAACAGAAAACCAAAUUAGUUGAGUUUUGAAAUCAUUGAGGAAUUAUUGGAGAUCUGAACAGUUUGAGUCUCAAAAGAAAUAUUAAAAACCAAAAUCAUCGAAUUCCAAAGAUACUAUUAUCGAGUACCAGAUGAAUUAAAAUUUAGGGCAAUCAACUUCUCAGAAUCUUCUAGGAACUAGUAUCUCGAAAAACGCCUUCACCUUAAUACCCUAAGUUAUUUUAGUAAUCAAUUAAGGGAAGGAAAGAGUAGCAAUAUAUGAAGAUGCAGCAUUAAUUAAGAAGCCAAUUAAACUCAUUACAGUACAA